UAACAGCCGUGCGCUCGGUGGAGGAGUAUCUCGAUGACAAAGGUCUGAAGGUCAAGACACAGAGACACAAAGAAAGGAAACGCCUCGGCAGAAGGAUUGUUCUGGUUUAAAGAGCACGCCAUAAGCAGAGGACAGAAACAACAGCGACGGGACCGAGCGGCUGCCAGGCUGGAAGAAAUAUGAGCAGCCAGGAUACGGGAGCCUGAACGCCUCCCUCAGGGGCGGGGGGAGGGCAGGCGGAGAGUGCUCCAUGCCUCUAUCUGGUGGAGAGAAAGAGGUACUACAACAAUGCUCCCCUCAAGCAACAGUAAAGGAAGUCACCUGAGGACUGCACUUCUCCACCUGGUGGACAACCAGAGGAAUUACAACAACAACAACAACAACAACAACCAGGGCCCUUUUUCUCGUACGUGGCUCAAUAAAGUCCAUAAAAUGUC